UGGGGAAUAUUGCACAAUGCGCGCAAGCCUGAUGCAGCCAUGCCGCGUGUAUGAAGAAGGCCUUCGGGUUGUAAAGUACUUUCAGCGGGGAGGAAGGCGAUAAGGUUAAUAACCUUGUCGAUUGACGUUACCCGCAGAAGAAGCACCGGCUAACUCCGUGCCAGCAGCCGCGGUAAUACGGAGGGUGCAAGCGUUAAUCGGAAUUACUGGGCGUAAAGCGCACGCAGGCGGUCUGUCAAGUCGGAUGUGAAAUCCCCGGGCUCAACCUGGGAACUGCAUUCGAAACUGGCAGGCUAGAGUCUUGUAGAGGGGGGUAGAAUUCCAGGUGUAGCGGUGAAAUGCGUAGAGAUCUGGAGGAAUACCGGUGGCGAAGGCGGCCCCCUGGACAAAGACUGACGCUCAGGUGCGAAAGCGUGGGGAGCAAACA
rnacentral:rRNA from 1 species